rnacentral:rRNA from 1 species
GACGAACGCUGGCGGCGUGCCUAAUACAUGCAAGUCGAGCGGAACUGGGGAAGCUUGCUCCUUCCAGUUUAGCGGCGGACGGGUGAGUAACACGUGGGCAACCUGCCCUGCAGAUCGGGAUAACUCCGGGAAACCGGUGCUAAUACCGAAUAGUUUGGCGCCUCUCCUGAGGCGCUACGGAAAGCCGGUUUCGGCUGUCACUGCAGGCUGGGCCCGCGGCGCAUUAGCGAGUUGGUGGGGUAACGGCCCACCAAGGCGACGAUGCGUAGCCGACCUGAGAGGGUGACCGGCCACACUGGGACUGAGACACGGCCCAGACUCCUACGGGAGGCAGCAGUAGGGAAUCUUCCGCAAUGGACGCAAGUCUGACGGAGCAACGCCGCGUGAGUGACGAAGGUUUUCGGAUCGUAAAACUCUGUUGUGAGGGAAGAACACGUACCAACUAACUAUUGGUACCUUGACGGUACCUCGCCAGAAAGCCACGGCUAACUACGUGCCAGCCGCCGCAGUAA